rnacentral:rRNA from 1 species
GAUGAGCGCUGGCGGCGUGCCUAACACAUGCAAGUCGAACGGAACUUUUAUGGAUUGAGACUUCGGUUGAUUGAAGUUUAAGUUAGUGGCGGACGGGUGAGUAACGCGUGAGUAACCUGCCUUUCACAGGGGGAUAACGUUUGGAAACGAACGCUAAUACCGCAUAACAUAGCGAGGUCGCACGGCUUUGCUAUCAAAGAUUUUAUCGGUGAAAGAUGGACUCGCGUCCGAUUAGGUAGUUGGUGAGGUAACGGCCCACCAAGCCGACGAUCGGUAGCCGGACUGAGAGGUUGAACGGCCACAUUGGGACUGAGACACGGCCCAGACUCCUACGGGAGGCAGCAGUGGGGAAUAUUGCACAAUGGGCGCAAGCCUGAUGCAGCAACGCCGCGUGAGGGAAGACGGUUUUCGGAUUGUAAACCUCUGUCUUUGGUGACGAAGAAGUGACGGUAGCCAAGGAGGAAGCCACGGCUAACUACGUG